UACGUGGGGAGCAAGCGUUGUUCGGAUUUACUGGGCGUAAAGGGCGCGUAGGCGGCUACUGCAAGUCGACUGUGAAAUCUCCGGGCUUAACCCGGAAAGGUCAGCCGAUACUGCGGGGCUAGAGUGCAGAAGGGGCAACUGGAAUUCUCGGUGUAGCGGUGAAAUGCGUAGAUAUCGAGAGGAACACCUGCGGCGAAGGCGGGUUGCUGGGCUGACACUGACGCUGAGGCGCGAAAGCUAGGGGAGCGAACGGG
rnacentral:rRNA from 1 species